AGUGGGAAACGAUGUGGGAAGGCCCAGACAGCCAGGAUGUUGGCUUAGAAGCAGCCAUCAUUUAAAGAAAGCGUAAUAGCUCACUGGUCGAGUCGGCCUGCGCGGAAGAUGUAACGGGGCUAAACCAUGCACCGAAGCUGCGGCAGCGACACUCAGGUGUUGUUGGGUAGGGGAGCGUUCUGUAAGCCUGCGAAGGUGGCCUGUGAGGGUUGCUGGAGGUAUCAGAAGUGCGAAUGCUGACAUAAGUAACGAUAAAGCGGGUGAAAAGCCCGCUCGCCGGAAGACCAAGGGUUCCUGUCCAACGUUAAUCGGGGCAGGGUGAGUCGACCCCUAAGGCGAG
rnacentral:rRNA from 1 species